rnacentral:lncRNA from 1 species
GCCAUACUCCUAUUUGACAGGCACCUUUAAUGCCACAUUGAGAAGGAAUUGCUUUCCUAAGAUCUUCAAUCUUCGUCCAACCAAACACAAAUUUUUCAACAAUAGCAUAUUGAAGACUUCCCAUAAUGUUCAUGUGAUUGACCUUUGCCUGGGUUCACGUUACUACUGGUAUUCCAUCAUCAUAUCCGAUUUUUAAUUGGUAUGGGCUCAAUUGUAGGAUUAAAUCAAUUUAGGGUGGUAGUGUUGAAAAGUGCACCAAAGUUCUUUGUAGAGGAAGCAGCAUUAUUACAAUUCUUAUUGCCACUGGGAGUUGAAGUGGAAAGUGUUUCAAGGGUUUUCUUGGAAGGUAGGGGUGGAAAUUGAAAUUAGAUCAAGGUGGGUUGGUUAUCCGACAUCCCGAGGGCUGGUUGAUGGAACGUGGCGGCUGAUUAUCCAUCGAAAAAUUAGGUCAAAAGUGAUGGGGUUGAAGAGAAAGAACACAGGUCUGAUAGUUUUAAAUUUUGUUAUUAAUUGCCAGAUUGG